rnacentral:rRNA from 1 species
UGGUGGAGCGAUUUGCCUGCUUAAUUGCGAUAACGAACGAGACUCUGGCCUACUAACUAGAAGACAGUUCUUCGAGACUGUCAUACUUCUUAGAGGGAUAAGGGGAUUGAAGCCCCAAGAGAUUGAGCAAUAACA